rnacentral:lncRNA from 1 species
GCUAAAAUUCAUUCCGACUGUGAUCAGGUGUUGGAUCAUGAUUUUUUGGCUGAUCUCAUGCAUUUGAUGGUGAUCUGAUAGUUAGAAACCUGUUUCACUUGGGACACGCAUUUUGGAUGCAAUUUGAGAGGUUUAACCUAUCCAGGAGACUUAUUACGUGAUGUAAUCCAUGGGCAGCAAGGAGUUUUGAUACGAGGAGGCUAUGAAGGCUAUAAAAAUGAUCCCAGAGAGAAUAGAAAAAUCAUUUGAGAGAGGGGGCAGCACAAAGAAAAAGAGGAUGGGC